rnacentral:rRNA from 1 species
UACGUAGGGUGCAAGCGUUAAUCGGAAUUACUGGGCGUAAAGCGUGCGCAGGCGGUUUUGUAAGUCUGUCGUGAAAUCCCCCGGGCUCAACCUGGGAAUUGCGAUGGAGACUGCAAGGCUAGAAUCUGGCAGAGGGGGGGUAGAAUUCCACGUGUAGCAGUGAAAUGCGUAGAGAUGUGGAGGAACACCGAUGGCGAAGGCAGCCCCCUGGGUCAAGAUUGACGCUCAUGCACGAAAGCGUGGGGAACAAACAGG